GUGAUGAUGCCUGUAUCACUGUAUCAGCAGCACGUCUGAUGCUUCAUUACAUCGAAUAACCACCUGAUUGGUUUGGUUUUGGGCUGGUUCGCCUCGUUUCGUUUUAAAAUCUUUGUCUGAAAAUAAAAUAUGAUCCUCAACUGCGCUUCCCCUCCAGUCAGCAGACGGCGAUGUGCGUCUUUCAGGCGACGCUUCCAGCGUGACGUAUAAUCUAGUGGACGGUUCUUCAGAAACAGCUCGUCAACCAUCUUGGUAGCUUGCUCGCCAACAUAGCCGAAAGAUUCAAGCUAUUUAUACGCUUUCGGUAUAUAUUAGCUACUGUGUUUUAGACACACUUCUGUCGUAUCUACUUGUUAACCUAUUUAAUAUUACGUUAUUUUGUGAUAGUCAGCUAUAGUAUCUGGCUGGUUUAGUUAGCACUAGCCUAGUCGCUAAUGAUAGCUAGCUAACAUCCCCGACCAUGAGUUCACUAAACUACUCCCCUCCUGUUAAAGAAGAGGAGGUCUGCUGGACGGAGAAAGUGUCUGUGGCAGAACAUUUUUGUGAAAGAGGAGGAGGAGUAUGUUACAGUAAAACAAGUAGAAGGUGAGGCUGUUACAGUGAAAGAAGAAGAGAAAGACGUUUCAGUGAAAGAAGAGGAGUGAAAGAAGAGGAAAACGCGUUCAGAGUGAAGGAGGAGGAUUGCAGUUUUUGGUGUGAAAGAGGAAGAGGGGGAGAUUACUGUCACAUUGGAGGAAGAAGAGGAGGUUGGAGAUCUGUAACACCAGAGAGAUACGGGACUAUCGUGGAUCAUCUGGGGAGCCUCAACAACCUCAUGAUGCUGAAGAGGCAGAGAAGAGUACCUCCAAAUCAGAACACCUCAAUAAACACCUGCAAGAGAUCCACAGGGAAGAGAACUCACUGCUGCUCUGACUGUGGGAAGAAAUUCACCUCAUCAGGCAUUAAAAUUCAUCAGAGAACACACACAGGAGAGAAAUCUUAUGUGGGUUUCCCAAUGUGGGAAGAGUUUUGGUCAAUCUUGCCAGCUGACAUUACACCAGAGAACACACACCACACAGGAGAGAAAUCUUAUGUGGGUUUCCCAAUGUGGGAAGAGAUUUGGUCAAUCUGGCCAUUUUACUCAACACCAGAGAAUACACACAGGAGAGACAUCUUAUAGCUGUGAUCAGUGUGACAAGAGAUACUCUGAUAAAAGAUCUCUGAUUAAUCAUCAGAAAAUACAUACAUGAAGGAGUUAUUUCGUGAUAAUGAAAAAAUGUCACAAUGUAUAAUGUUUUUAACAUUGUAGAAGGAGUAUUUUAAUGAUGUCACAAUGUAGAAGCCUAAACGUUUGUCCCCUGUUCUAUUGAUUUCAGCAUGAUAUGGAUAUUAGCCUCGGGAAAUCCAGGCUCUGAAAUGGAAGAGUACUAUUUAUGUGAUUGAACAAAAAGUGACGAACAAAAAAAGAGUUGUGUUACACUUACCAUGUUGGUGACCCACUUGAAUCAAAAUCCAACACUUCAAAAUGUUUCUGGCCGUUUUCUCCUAAUUGUCCUCUAACCAGUGAUGUACACAUUAUUCCCAGAUUCUGUGUGGUUUUUGAGCUGUUAGUUUUAACAGGACGUGCAACUUCAUCUCCCUCCUCUCGCACAACUGAUUUAUCAGUAUCACUCCAAAAUAUAACUGACUGUCUUCUGCAGGUUGUCCUCUAACCAGUGAGGUGAAAGAUAUCUCCCAUUUCCAUGUGUUUUUUUAGUUGUGUUAGUUUCAACAUCACGUACAACCUGAUUUCCCCCCCUAAUCGAUAUCAGUGAUUUAUUGCUUCUUGUCAAAACAACAGCGUUUCUGGUGCUUGUGCUGUUUAUAAGGUGCUUGUUUAACAAAUACAAGUAAUAUGAUUAUUGUGGCAGAUGUUUGUAUGUAUAGCACAUUUUAUGUUUAGUUGUUCAAUAUAUCACAAACUGUUUCUGUA